rnacentral:rRNA from 1 species
UCGCCUGUUUUUCAAAAACAUAGUUUUUUGUUAGGUGUAAAAAAUAAGGCCUGCUCACUGAAAAUUUAAAGAGCUGCGAUAAAUUAAUCGUACAAAGGUAGCAUAAUCAUUUGUUUUUUAAUUGAGGACUAGGAUGAAAGGAAAGACGAGGAAAUAUUUGUCUUUAUAGUAAAUUUUGAAUUUUAUUUUUUUGUUAAAAAGCUAAAGUAAAAUUAUAAGACGAGAAGACCCUAUAAGCUUAAUUUUUAAUUAUUUAUUAAUGAGUUAAGUUGUAGGUUGUUAAAAAUUUUACUGGGGCGGUAGAAAGAAAAUGAAGAUCUCUUUUUUUAUAAAUUAUUAAAGGAUAUAUUUUAAUCCAAUAAGUUUGAGAGAUGAAAAGUUACUAUAGGGAUAACAGCGUAAUUUUUUUAUAGAGUUCUUAUCGAUAAAAGAGUUUGCGACCUCGAUGUUGGAUUAGGAGUUCUAAUCGGUGCAUAAGUUGAUUGAGAUAGUCUGUUCGACUAUUAAAUUCCUACAUGAUCUGAGUUCCAGACC